rnacentral:piRNA from 1 species
UCAGGACACCAUGGUGAUUGUGUGGU